AAGGAACGGUGGAGCAGGCUACUAAUGGAGAGCAAGAAGGAGCAUAUAUUUUUUUUUAUAGAGAAAGGAUUAAAUGUACAACAGAAGAGGAGACAAUACUCGAAAGGCAACACUUUUGGAAUGGGAUGCGUUUAGAUACUACAGGAUGCAUGUUCAGGAACGGGUGAAUCGAGUCAGUUCCGGAGUCUUCAGGAGCAUCAUCAGCUGCCGCUGCCCAGGGUCCUGCCCAACCUGGCCCGUAUCCGGCGCAGUGUGGACCACAACCAGGAGGCGCUGCAUGCCAUCAUGCUCGACUGUGUCUACAUGUUUGGGAACAUGCAGUAUGGCGAAGAGAUGACCUGAGGAAGGUGCGUACGUCCUCCAUGUUCGACAUAGACAAGCUCAAAUCCACCAUUAAGCAGUUUGUGCGUGACUUGAGUGAGGCGGGCCAGGCUGAGAGACUCCUGCUACCUGCCCUUCAUCAGAGAUCCAGAGAAUCUUUCUAAGCAAUAAGUGGUGUGAAAAGGUAAACUCCAUGACCCUGUACCCGUGGAUUCACCAGUUCAGCCACAACAAGAGGUCAUCUGGCGUCAACCCCCAGAGCCUGCCUCCAAAUUGUGACGUCUCCAUGGUGGUCGGGGACUUCCAGGAGGUCUUCACAGAGCCUAGCCCGCUGCUGUAGCACUUUGAGAACAUGGCCAACGAGCUCUCCAUUGAGCUCAGCUACGAGGACGCCAGAGUGGCCAUUUUAAAAUAUGGAUUCCAUUUGGAGGUAAAGCAACAACGGAGGUAAAGCAACAACGGAAAAUGUAUAACACAGGUGUACAGAUUGGAGGAAUACAAUGAACUACUACUAUAGUAAUACCAUUUUUUUCAGUUAACGUUGUUUUGACAAUCCUCCGUGGGCCUAAAACACCUGGGUGUUUCUCAAAAUGCAUUCUACCGUGCUCCGAGCAAAAUGUAUUGAAAUCAAUGGCUGGUCAUUAUUUGAGAUGAAGCGAGAGAAAAUACACUCUGACUUCGGAAUAAAAUGUUGCCUAUUCACAUCA